AUACGGAGGGUCCGAGCGUUAAUCGGAAUUACUGGGCGUAAAGCGCGCGUAGGCGGCUAUAUAAGUCAGAUGUGAAAUCCCUGGGCUCAACCUAGGAACUGCAUUUGAAACUGUAUGGCUAGAGUAUGGUAGAGGUGAGUGGAAUUUCAGGUGUAGCGGUGAAAUGCGUAGAGAUCGGAAGGAACAUCAGUGGCGAAGGCGACUCACUGGGCCAUUACUGACGCUGAGGUGCGAAAGCGUGGGUAGCAAACAGGAUUAGAUACCCUAGUAGUCC
rnacentral:rRNA from 1 species